rnacentral:rRNA from 1 species
GAUGAACGCUAGCUACAGGCUUAACACAUGCAAGUCGAGGGGAAACGAUAGAGAAAGCUUGCUUUUUCUAGGCGUCGACCGGCGCACGGGUGAGUAACGCGUAUCCAACCUGCCCAUCACUUGGGGAUAACCUUGCGAAAGUAAGACUAAUACCCAAUGACGUCUCUAGAAGACAUCUGAAAGGGAUUAAAGAUUUAUCGGUGAUGGAUGGGGAUGCGUCUGAUUAGCUUGUUGGCGGGGUAACGGCCCACCCAGGCGACGAUCAGUAGGGGUGCUGAGAGGAAGGCCCCCGACAUUGGAACUGGGACACAGUCCAAACUCAUACGGGAGGCAAAAGUGAGGAAUAUUGGUCAAUGGACGAGAGUCUGAACCAGCCAAGAAGCGUGCAGGAUGAAGGCGCUAUGUGUUGUAAACUGCUUUUAUAAGGGAAUAAAGUGGGAGUCGUGACUCUUUUUGCAGGUACCUUAUGAAUAAGGACCGGCUAAUUCCGUGCCAGCCGCCGCCGUAA